ACGAAGGGUGCAAGCGUUACUCGGAAUUACUGGGCGUAAAGCGUGCGUAGGUGGUUUGUUAAGUCUGAUGUGAAAGCCCUGGGCUCAACCUGGGAACGGCAUUGGAUACUGGCUUACUAGAGUGCGGUAGAGGGUAGUGGAAUUCCCGGUGUAGCAGUGAAAUUCGUAGAUAUGGGGAGGAACACCGGUGGCGAAGGCGGCCAUCUGGACGGAUACUGACGCUGAGACGCGAAAGCGUGGGUAGCAAACAGGA
rnacentral:rRNA from 1 species